AGUGCUUGCACUCAAUUGGAAAGAGGAGUGGCGGACGGGUGAGUAACACGUGGGUAACCUACCCAUCAGAGGGGGAUAACACUUGGAAACAGGUGCUAAUACCGCAUAACAGUUUAUGCCGCAUGGCAUAAGAGUGAAAGGCGCUUUCGGGUGUCGCUGAUGGAUGGACCCGCGGUGCAUUAGCUAGUUGGUGAGGUAACGGCUCACCAAGGCCACGAUGCAUAGCCGACCUGAGAGGGUGAUCGGCCACACUGGGACUGAGACACGGCCCAGACUCCUACGGGAGGCAGCAGUAGGGAAUCUUCGGCAAUGGACGAAAGUCUGACCGAGCAACGCCGCGUGAGUGAAGAAGGUUUUCGGAUCGUAAAACUCUGUUGUUAGAGAAGAACAAGGACGUUAGUAACUGAACGUCCCCUGACGGUAUCUAACCAGAAAGCCACGGCUAACUACGUGCCAGCAGCCGCGGUAAUACGUAGGUGGCAAGCGUUGUCCGGAUUUAUUGGGCGUAAAGCGAGCGCAGGCGGUUUCUUAAGUCUGAUGUGAAAGCCCCCGGCUCAACCGGGGAGGGUCAUUGGAAACUGGGAGACUUGAGUGCAGAAGAGGAGAGUGGAAUUCCAUGUGGUAGG
rnacentral:rRNA from 1 species